CAAUAUCUUAUUCAUAUAAUUUAUAAAUGUAAGAAGACAAGUGGAAACACAAUCAAUACAUUCAAAGCAAAUGAAGAAUCACUAGAUUAGGUUACAAACAUUUUUAAUGUGAUGUUUGAACACAGAUUGCAAAUGAUUUGCGAGAAAUUUUUAAUUUUUGAUUUUUUUUUUUCAAAUUUUCACAACUCGGUCCUUCUCCUUCAAAUCUCAAAAUCGAAGCUCACAAUCCAUGAUUUUUCAUGCAGAACAUGAAAAAUCAUGAAUUUGUAACAAUUUGAGACUAAUUUAACAUGAAUUACAGAAAAUAAGAGCAUCGAAAUUUGAAAAUACUCACUAGAUCGAACAUGUGGGAUAUAUUGCAUUACUUGUGUGUUUCGUAUCGCACUAGUGGGAUACAAGAUAUAUCGUGGGAUAUAUCGGCCGAUAUCAUUGAUAUUUAAAACAAUGCUUGAUUCCGCCCCUCAAAAGUCCAUUUGGGGUGUGCUUCUGGUCGCCAUUGGUCAGAUUGUGAUGGGAUUGGCCUGUAGAUGAAGUUCUUGAGGGUGCUUUCCCACCAGACCGUGUUCUCUGAUUAAUUUGAUUUUUUUAGGUGUGAUGAAGUGGGGCUUGCCUUCCAUCAUCUACUUAAUCAGAUAAACCAAUUUCUACCUCCGUGGAAUUCCUAUAACCUACUUUGUUACUUUUAACAUGGGAUGAUGGGGUCUGUUGGGCCCCACAUCACAUCUCCAUCUGACCUUGAUCAAAUGGUGAUGAGAUCCUUGCAUAUAGGUAUUGUAUGGACUAUGGAUUGGAUUAUCAGGUCUUUGAUCCGGAUCAUUGAUUUGAAUAGCUCUGUUGUAAUUGGGAAUGCCUCAGAAGUAUUUGAGGUCAGAAGUUGCUAGGGUACAAUCUAGACUGUUUCCUGUUUGUCACAUUGUUUUCAGAAUGAUCUAUUUGUAGGUCAUUGAUGAAGGUCUAGAUUUUACCAAGGAGGGGGUUGGCUGUGUUGUCUGUAAGUUGGAAUUGGAGAAAGCAUGCGAUCAUGUCAGCUGGAACUUCUUGGAAUAUAUGCUGCAGUGAGUAGACGUGGGUAAAGUGGAGGGAUUGGAUGAAAGAGUGGGUCAGCUCAGCUAGAUUCUUCUUGGUGAAUGGCUCCUUAGAAGAUUUAUUUUAAAGCCCACUAGGGAUAUUAGGUAAGGAGAUCCUUUUUCCUCCUAUUUGUUCGCAGUAGUGGUGGAGGUGUUUGGCACGAUGUUAGCAAGAAGGCAAGAAGCGGGUCUAUUCAAGGGUUCAAGGUGAAUGGGGAGACUCCUCAUAUUUCUCAUUUGCAAUUCACGGAUGGCACUCUUUUUUGCAAAGCCGAUGAGGGCACGGUGAAAAGGUUGAGAACAAUUAUCUUAUGCUUUGAAGCUAUUUUUGGGGCAUAAAGUUAACACCAUGAAGAGCAAGAUUCUAGGUGUGUGUCUUUUGAAGUGGUGGAUUGGCUGGUUAAGGUGUUUGGAAGCAAAGUGGGAACCUUUCUGUCCACCUAUCUUGUCUUCAACUUUGCGUUGGAGCGGUUUGAAAGUGUCUAAAAUCCAUCUUGAAUAAAUUAGAGAAGCUGAAAAGAGGCUUCCUGUGGCUAGGGUUGGAAGAUAGAAAUUUCACUUUUUGAGGUGGAGUGAAGUUUGCAAGCCUACUGAGGAAGGAGGUGCAGGUGUAAGAAUGUUUGAGAGGAUGGAUCUAGGACUUUUGGGGAGACGUUUCUGGAGGUUUGAAGAGGAAGAUAACUUGCUUGAACCAAUGGACCGGUCACUUCUGGAAAAAUGGUUAUGAGGUUCAGCAAGGAAGAUAACUCAUGGUUGAGAGGUCAUUGCCAGAGAUAUAGCUGCUAUGGAGGAUGGCAGGUAAAGGACUCCAUAUCCAGAGCUUCCCACUAUAUGGUAAGAAAUUUCACCAUUGAAGAAAGAAAUUAGAAAAGGGAUCUUGUUGAAGAAACAGGGCGAGGAUAUGAAUCUAGAAAGAUGUGUGGGUCGAGGACUACUCUUCAAGAUGAGUUUCCAACAUUAGCGUGCCUUUUAUGUUGAGAAUAAUAUUAUGGAUUUAUAAUAUCUGUAAAAUGUUUAAACCGAAAAUAUCAAGACAUGCUGAAGCAUGUAUGAUUACGUUGUCCUUAAAGUGUUAUUUGCGCCUUCUCAAUUAGAUUGAGAAUGUUGAUAGGUUCCAGGCAAACAACUUCUAGGAUAUGAUGAGCCUAGGUGUGGAUCUGUGUUCAGCAAAUACGAAGAGCCAUAAAUGGAAAUCUGUACACAAAUUGUUGGCAAAUAAAUAAAAAGAAAAAGAUUCCAAAAUAAAAAAGAGAAUAGAAAAUUUUUAGACCACUGCACUAGUUUGUUUCUUAAGCUCGCUUGGCCAAGGUUCGUAUUAACCUUGCUGAUUGGUUUGAGUACAUUGUUGCUCCUUUUUCUCUGGUUCGUAUGUGAGUGUGAUUCGAGUGUUGGUGAUGGAUUGUUGAACCAUCCAGGCACCGUUUAUUUAGGCUAGGGUGGCUAAUUGUUGUGGUCCAGGGCCAUUAACUAAUGUGAUUGUUUUCUAGCUGUUGGUGAGAAAGUGGAAUAAUAACUGGUUGUAUGCUGGCCGUUUAGACUCAUUGGCUAACUGUUUAUAGUUGUUGGGCUAGCCACAUGCAUUAGUUUCUGCAUGGUUAGAAUUUAUGUGCAUGAAGAGUUACACCUUACUCAAACGGCUAGUUUUUCCAGCCUCUAUAAAAGCCAUAAAGGUCUCGUUCAGACCACUAGCACUCAUCCCAACCACCUGACCCAUUUUUCUAUCGUACCGGUUUGCAUAAGGUUGUGAAGGAGUGACUCAUCUGCGUACGUGCGAAGUACAAACUGCACCUCUACAGCCACACUGCCUCACAUGCCCAUGCACCAAGACCAUGCCCAAGCCCGCACAGGGAUGAAUAUCUUGGUGUUUGAGUGCUUCUACGAGGGGAACAACAUGGAAUGGUCUCCUCCAUAUGUCGUAUUAUUGGAUAAGCUUCUCUUGGACAUUCCGGUAAGAGAAGAUUAGGACAAGCCUGUUUAAGGACAAAUUAGGUUGUUUCUAGUGUGGUCUCUCUAUGGGUGGCUGAGUAGUCCGAACAAGAGUGAGGAUGGCUAUCAUACAUCUUACCCUUCGAAGGUGGUAGCUUUUGGUUGGCUAGUUAGAAAGAAUAGAGCCCUCACUAUUUACGAUCUCCAAAAAAAAAUCUAUAGUUCUUGAUAGUACAUGUGUGAUGUGCAUGGAGAAUGUGGAAUUAGUCCGUAUUUUUCAUUUUCAUUGUAAAUAUGCUUCGAAGCUACGGAGUAAGUUUAUUAA